rnacentral:rRNA from 1 species
GAUGAACGCUGGCGGCGUGCCUAAUACAUGCAAGUAGAACGCUGAAGCUUGGUGCUUGCACCGAGCGGAUGAGUUGCGAACGGGUGAGUAACGCGUAGAUAACCUGCCUCUUAGCGGGGGAUAACUUUUGGAAACGAUAGCUAAUACCGCAUAAUAGUCGAUAUCGCAUGAUAUUGAUUUGAAAGGUGCACAUGCAUCACUAUGUGAUGGACCUGCGUUUUAUUAGCUAGUUGGUGAGGUAACGGCUCAACAAGGCGACGAUACAUUGCCGACCUGAGAGGGUGGACGGCCAAACUUGGACUGGGGAAAGGCCCAGACUCCUACGGGAAGCAGCAGUAGGGGAACUUCGGCAAAGGGGGGAAACCUGGACGGGGAACGCCGGGGGAGGUAAGGAGGUUUUCGGAUCGGAAAGCUCUGUUGUAAGAGAAGGACGAGUGUGGGAGUGGAAAGUUCACACUGUGACGGUAACUAACCAGAAAGGGACGGCUAACUACGUG